CAGAACCAGGCUCAGAAGUCCUAUCUUUGUGCAAAGGUAUAGCAUGUGUUGUGGCAGAGCAAGCUUUCCGCCACAUGAUCACUCCACCAAUGUGCCACAACCCUGACAUGGUAGAACCACGUUUAGGAAAUAGAGAUUAGUUUAUUUUCCUUGCCUGUUCAUUCUUUGGAAUCU
rnacentral:sRNA from 1 species